AGGAACUGUCUGCAGAAGUUUAUUGCUGUGAGCGAGGAGAACAGGGCUAUUGCUUUUCCGGGUAAAGAGUUGUCGCUUUCAAAAGUUGAUGUCACAAAUGACAAUGUUGGUUCAGAAGGGGGCAAUUCUCAAACAUCUGGACCAUCAAAGUUGGAUACACCAGUGAAGUAUAGUGCUUCCCCUGCAAAAGCUGCACAGAUAGAGAGGCAAAACUCAUCAGGAAGCGAAGAAUCUGCUUGUUCAAGUGAGGAGGAACAACCAUCAGUGGAAAGAAGUCGUACUCUCAUAAGAUCUGCAUCUCCGAGAAGGUCUG
rnacentral:misc_RNA from 1 species